UGUGUUGCACAAAUUGUCUUACCCCUAGCAAAUGUAUAUGAAUUAAAAGUUAUUAAACAUUCUAUAAUCCGCAAACCUAAACUUAGUUACAUGUUCCUCCUGAAUUGCAGGGCUACAAAAAUCGCAGAGCUGCAGGAGCUUGCAUAGAGAGAAGAGAAGCUUAAUGUCGAAAGAAAAUUGGUGUUAAAUGCAAUAGAAAAAGAGAGAUUGAUGACCAGCAAAAGAGAUGAUGCCUGUUUCUGGAAAUACUGUGUUUGAGGAUCUUAAACUGAAGAGCCUGGAGCAAGAAAAUCUGCAAAAUCAUCUAAUGCCUUAGAUGUGUCAAACAAGCAGAACUUUUUCAGAUAUGGAAUUAUAUGGAUUCAUAAUGUGUCAUGAUGAUCACGAUAGUUACAAUGUACUCAUGGCUGUACUCUUAUUACAAAAAUUCGGUUUAUUUAAAUGUCAUAUCAAUAAAACAUCAUGAAAAAUAUUGAUUUUACUCUUUCAUCUCAUUGUGCAAAAUAUUCCUUUUUUUUUCUUGAGUUCAAAGAAACAUGUAUACAUUAUUAAACAAUUGAAAUAGUAAAAUUAUGUCAAAAUAAAAUCAGCUAAAACUAAUUGGCUUUUAAGGGCUUUUGUCUCCCUGUAGUGUUAAGACUUUGUUUGACAACACAUAUUACACAUAUUAUCUCUCAUAACUCAUACAGGUUUGGAAUGACAUGAGGACCAAAAAUGAAGACAGAAUUUU